UACGAAGGGGGCUAGCGUUGCUCGGAAUGACUGGGCGUAAAGGGCGCGUAGGCGGCUUGCACCGUCAGAUGUGAAAUUCCUGGGCUUAACCUGGGGGCUGCAUUUGAUACGUGUGGGCUUGAGUGCGGAAGAGGGUCGUGGAAUUCCCAGUGUAGAGGUGAAAUUCGUAGAUAUCGGGAAGAACACCCGUGGCGAAGGCGACGUGCUGGGCUGAACCUGACGCUGAGAUGCGAAAGUGUGGGGAGCAAACGGG
rnacentral:rRNA from 1 species